AAAGAUUUCACCUUUUUUUCCCCAACCUCUGUGUAGAUUAACAUUUUACCUAAAGACUUGUCAGUAGAGGUAAACUGGAUUUUUCAGAAGUAUGUUUUAAUAUCUUCUUGUGUUUUCUAAACCUAAAUUUUGUUUUGAAGUCCAUCUGGUAUAACUUUACUUACUAUUUCUUAGGAAUUAUUCUUUUGGAAUUUAAGACAAUAACUGUGAAUCUAGGAACUUGCUCCUUCUUCUAGGGCUGUGAGCUGUUCAUUAUUGUAUUUCUUAAACAUAUUCUGCAUCUCACAAACUCACAUUUUGUUGUCUUUGGUCAAGUUGUCUCCAUCUUCCUCCUCCUCAUCAAGCUCUGAUUCUUCCAGCAGUUCUUCUGAUUUUGAAGAUGAGGAUAAGAAACACGGGAAAAGGAGAAGAAAGAAAAGAUACCGCUUCUCACGAAAAUCAUCAGACAGCUCUAGUUCAGGUUCUGAAUCGGACAGCAAGGACAGCUUGAAAAAUAGAAGGCCAAAAGAAGACUAUGAAAGAGAAAAGGAAACCAAAACCCUUGGUAGGAAAAGGAAAAAAGCAGAUCGUGGGGAUGAUUUGUCGUUGUCAGACUCCUCAUCAGAAUCUGAGCAUACAGAUGAGGUGGGUAUACAUAUAAAGGUCAGAGAUAAUAUAAAAUAUUUUUGCAAUUUCAGA
rnacentral:lncRNA from 1 species